UACGUAGGGUGCGAGCGUUAAUCGGAAUUACUGGGCGUAAAGGGCGCGUAGGCGGCCUUCUAAGUCGAACGUGAAAUCCCUGGGCUCAACCCAGGAACUGCGUCCGAUACUGGAAGGCUUGAAUCCGGGAGAGGGAUGCGGAAUUCCAGGUGUAGCGGUGAAAUGCAUAGAUAUCUGGAGGAACACCGGUGGCGAAGGCGGCAUCCUGGACCGGCAUUGACGCUGAGGAGCGAAAGCCAGGGGAGCAAACGGG
rnacentral:rRNA from 1 species